CCUACGGGAGGCAGCAGUGGGGAAUAUUGGACAAUGGGCGAAAGCCUGAUCCAGCCAUGCCGCGUGUGUGAAGAAGGUCUUCGGAUUGUAAAGCACUUUAAGUUGGGAGGAAGGGCAUUAACCUAAUACGUUAGUGUUUUGACGUUACCGACAGAAUAAGCACCGGCUAACUCUGUGCCAGCAGCCGCGGUAAUACAGAGGGUGCAAGCGUUAAUCGGAAUUACUGGGCGUAAAGCGCGCGUAGGUGGUUUGUUAAGUUGGAUGUGAAAUCCCCGGGCUCAACCUGGGAACUGCAUUCAAAACUGACUGACUAGAGUAUGGUAGAGGGUGGUGGAAUUUCCUGUGUAGCGGUGAAAUGCGUAGAUAUAGGAAGGAACACCAGUGGCGAAGGCGACCACCUGGACUAAUACUGACACUGAGGUGCAAAAGCGUGGGGAGCAAACAGGAUUAGAUACCCUGGUAGUCCACGCCGUAAACGAUGUCAACUAGCCGUUGGGAGCCUUGAGCUCUUAGUGGCGCAGCUAACGCAUUAAGUUGACCGCCUGGGGAGUACGGCCGCAAGGUUAAAACUCAAAAGGAAUUGACGG
rnacentral:rRNA from 1 species